rnacentral:lncRNA from 1 species
UCUUUGUCUGGCACUGGUUGUCCUGUGGAUGGGAAGGUACUGAUAAGGUCUAGGCAUAUAGUUUUUGUAGUUUCUAGGUGGUCUUUCUCAUUUUGCAACUUUUCUUUUCCAUAGUAGAAUGUAAACCUAUAAUGCCAAUAAAAAUCUGUGCAUCUUACCAUGCAGUCUGCUUUGUCAUUUGAUCAAAAGAUGUCAAGUAGCAGCAUAUUUGGAACAGAGAGUGGGAGAAUACCUCGAUUAGAGUUUUUCAUACUUCAACUUUUCUCUUUAAAUGAAAAUACUCAACAGGGAUUGGAAAAGCUAAUUAAUGUCUUAAUCCAUUAAACAUGAAAUUCUUUUAUGAGAUCAAUUUAGAUUGGUUCAUGGCCCUGGGCAACAGACAUGCUACAGUGGCUAGGACAAUCGGACAUUCAUUUACUGUAAUUCACUAGAAAAUUGAAUCUAUACUUUUGGUCUUCAUCUUCGGGAUGGUUAUAAUCCAUUUUUGGAUCUCACUUCAAGUGCUGAGAAGCAGAUACCGUCAGUGAUCGAGCACUUGAAUUCAAAAUGGGAAAGUUCAAGUGUAGCACAUGGCCAACUUAUGCUCUUCCCCUGUAAUAUGAAAUCAGUGAAAAUUGCUUCAUGCAAAAGAUGGACAUAAAAUGACUAUGGCAUUACUGCAGGAGAGGUUUAUGUUUCUGUGGAAAGUCUUUCGAUUUUUCGCCUAAGAUCUGAAGCUUCUUGCCGCAACAUUGCUUUCUUCAGUUUGGGAGUUUUGUCUUUUUAUUUGUUUAUUAUAUUGCUUUCCAUCUAUGGUUGGUUCUCCAAUACUGGUGAAAAUGUUUGGAGUAGCUUUGACAGGAGCUAUAGCAAAGUUUUGAAGAUUUCAAAUGAUCAAGAGGAAAAAGCCUAGUUGAGUGUUGAAAACAUCAAAGAUCCAUUCAACAUAGUAGUAUAGUAGAUUCAAGCGUGAAUGAGCUAAAGUCAUUGGAUAUACCGAUGAAUCAUGUGGUAAUUUUCAAUUCUCUUCUAUUCUUCUACUGAUACUCAUUUCAUUUAAGAUCAAAGUAAUCAAAUUUUGAAGUUAUUUCAAUAUAUCUAACAUCCGCAUGUUAAACUAGCUUGUUUGUCAUGCACUUCCAUCCAAUGGUCAAUAACAAGUUAGUAAAAGGACAAACAGUUGGAACAUAUAUACAGGUUUUGAUACCAUAAUAAUGGGAGAAGUCAUGAUAGGUUUUGAAUAUUUGUCGUAAAGAAUGGCAACUUUCAGUUAUCAAAUAUUACUCUCUUUCUGUUGGAUCCACUAAGGUUGAGGGAGGGAGAAUUUUGGGUUAUGAUAAGGUUUGCUAGAAACUUUUUAAUCCGAAUAAAAUUAUUUAUAGGUUUAAAAGCCUAUCUUUGUGCUAUGAGAGGUGAACGAGAAUCGUGUUUUAUGAAAGUAGAUUGAAUAGAACUUGAGAUCCAUAAUUUUUUAUUAAGAAUAAUUGGAAUUACGUAGAGAAGAAGAAAGAAUAAGAUUAUGGAAAGCAAACCUAUUUUCAGUAAUAAUCAAGGCAAGGUUCAUUAGCAAAAUCAAUAUGGAAGUUUCAAAUAAUUCAGUUUCAUUUUUAGAUUUUUUUCACACACCGUAUAUAGCUGUUACAUUUCUGUCUUUACAAGACCAGCUAUUCUGAAGUUCAUAAUUUUUUAAAAAUAUUCUGUAACACAUUAAAAUUUAAUCAAAUGAAAAUACAUAAAAACUAAUUAACUUUAAUGCUUAAAUUAGAGAAUCUUAGGUCCAAAAUCUGUUGCAUGCACUUUUUUCAAUUUUGUCUUCAUAAAUUCUGUGAUGUGAAGGGUCAAAUCCUUGGUAGAGGAGUAUAGAUGAGUUUUAACCAUCAGACUAAGACUAUAUGGGCAGCCUAUGAUACUCGGACUCGGGUAUGGGUAUCGGGUAUGGGUAAUAUCCAAGUGUCGGAUCUUUUAUUUUCUAAAAUAUAGGAUACGGGAAUAUGACUAAAAAGAGUCUAAAUUUUGAACACAGGUACGUGGAUACGUCUUUCAAACUUUAAUUUUUUUACUAAUUGAAGAUGUUAUUUUGAAUAGACCAAAAUCAAUUGUUCACAAAGAAGGAAAUAGUAUAGAAUAAGGGGUUAAGACGAAUAAAAUAGAAUUUUGAGGUUUAGUUUUCAAUUAUGAGAAGUUAAUUACUAAAUGUUAUAUAAAAUAGAGAUUGAGAGAGUUGAUUGCAAUAUGGAUCAAAUAGAGCACUAAGUAGCAUUAUAUAGAACCUAUUUUCAUUUUAUACAAACAAAACCCUAAACCACCGAUACAGAGAGGGAAAGAAGGAAAAAAAGAAGAAAAGAAAAGGGAAAGAAAAAAUAAAGAAGAAGAAGGGAAAAUCUAGCACUGUCGCUUUUCUCCCUCUUCUCGAAGGUGGCGCUAGGUUUAUAGAGGGUAGAAACGGAAAUAAAAGGGGAAAAAAAAAAGAAGAGAGAGAAAGAAGAAGCAAAAAAUGACGAAAUGUCCAGUUGAAAUUUGGAGGAUCCGACCUAUAUCCAUACCCAUACCCAUACCCAUGUCUUGUCGUAUCCGACACGGGUACUCUAACCAUUUUGAAGAGUCCGAGCAUUAGAGUGGGCAGCUGACACGUGAGUUACUUUUCUUUAAUGAACUGGCUGGAUUUCGUUUCUAGCAUAGGUUUUUUACUUACAAUAAACACGUGCCUUCUCUUCCCGCUAGAAUGAUGAAGUGAUGACUCACAUAUAUAGUUGAGUGUAUAUUGGGGGUGAUAAUCUGACCAACUUGAGCAUUGAAGGCCAACUUUCUCAAAUAUCAUUGAAGGGAAAGAUCAAUAACUCUAUGAAUAAAUCUAACUUGCAACCAAUUGGAUUAAUUUCUAAAAUAAGCAUUGGAGGCCUGUUGUCCGAAGCAUCUUUGUAGGGCAAGAUUGGCAAUCCUGACCUGAAAUAUCCAGCAUGCAUCAAAAAGCAGUUGGAUCUGCACCUGGUGUUAAAUUUUGCUCUUCACAUUGCUCAAGCCAUGGACUGUUUACACACAAAAGGGAUUAUACAUGGAGAAUUAAAACUUGGUAUUUGAUGGGCCAAUGAGCUAUAUAAGAUUUUAUGCAUCUAUAAUAUUGUUAUAUUGUGUAGUUUUGAACAAUUUUAUUGUUUUAGUGGAGAUUUUAAUAUUUUGUUCACCAGGAUUUCAUAUUGUAUCGGUUAGUCUGAAGUGAUAUUUUAAUAAGAAGUAGGUGAACACAUAUCAUAGUAUGCUGUCAUUUUUCCUUUUAGUUCUAUUAUCUGGGUUGUUAUGUUAUUCAUCACCAAAUGAAUAAAAAGAGAGAGAGAGAGAAGGGAAACAAAGAUGAG